CCCUUAGAUGUUCUGGGCCGCACGCGUGCUACACUGAGUAAAUCAAUGGGUAAGGGAACACGAAAGUGCAACCUAAUCUUGAAAUUUGCUCGUGAUGGGGAUCGACGGUUGCAAUUUUCCGUCGUGAACGAGGAAUACCUUGUAGGCGCGUGUCAUCAUCACGCGCCGAAUACGUCCCUGCCCUUUGUACACACCGCCCGUCGCUCCUACCGAUUGAGUGAUCCGGUGAGGCUCUGGGACCUGGACGGAAAGAGCGUUUCGCUUGUUCUGUUUGGGAAACUUGGUCGAACCUGAUCAUUUAGAGGAAGGAGAAGGCGUAACA
rnacentral:rRNA from 1 species